CUCAUGAACCACGAGAUCAUGACCUGAGCCAAAGUUGGGUGCUUAACUGACUGAGCCACCCAGGUGCUCCAUGAAUUCUUAUUAUUGAUUCUGUGCCGGUGCUGGGUACCCAAAGAGCACAUCUUAGUCAUGUGAGGCGUCUGUCAACUAUCGGGAGCCCAGGUGAGAGGGAGAUUCCAUGGGACUUGUGUCACCAUGGGAAUGGAACAUGAGAGGAUUCUUAGGGGAAAUGGAGUUGUGUCUCCUGAUGUUUGGGAAACCAUGGGUUUCAAGAAGAGCACCAUUUGGCAUCGUAUUUGUCCAAAGUGAACAAAGGCAUCAUCCUGGACCAUGAAGGAGGUAACACAAGAAGAUGGAAAAUGUCAAGAAACUGAGUCUCAAAUAUUUGAUGGAAGUCUACCUGGGUCUAAAGCUUGGGCUUCUAACCAAGCCACAACAUAAUGUUUGAAUCUAAGGAAAUAUCCUGCCAUCGGAUGGAGCCACUCCAUUUCUUCCUCUGUGAGUUCUCUUCAUGCUUGGUGAAAGGUGUGGCACUUUUGUUUUCUUUUUCAUUUUGCUCCUUAAAUCGGUGACAACACUGCAUAGCAAUUAAGGCCCUGAUGGUUGGAGUUUGGCUGAACUUGGGUUUGAAUUCUAGCAAUGAUUUCAUGGAUAUGAAACCAGAAACACAGGCAACAAAAGUAAAAAUAGACCCAUGGUUCCACA